rnacentral:rRNA from 1 species
CUACGGGGCGCAGCAGUCGAGAAUAUUCGUCAAUGGGCGAAAGCCUGAACGAGCGACGCCGCGUGCAGGAUGAAGGUCUUAGGAUUGUAAACUGCUUUUAGUGGGGAGAAAGUCGCAAGACUGAUAGUACCCGCUGAAUAAGGAGCGGCAAACUUCGUGCCAGCAGCAGCGGUAAUACGAAGGCUUCAAGCGUUAUCCGGAUUUAUUGGGCGUAAAGGGCGCGUAGGGGGUUUUGUGCGUCUUAUGUAAAAUGCCACUGCUCAACAGUGGCGCUGCAUGGGAAACGGCAAGACUAGAGAGCGUUAGAGGUACACGGAACGCACGGUGUAGGGGUGAAAUCCGUUGAUAUCGUGCGGAACACCAAAGGCGAAGGCAGUGUACUGGGACGUUUCUGACCCUGAGGCGCGAAAGCGUGGGGAGCAAAAAGGAUUAGAUACCCCGGUAGUC